rnacentral:rRNA from 1 species
AUGGCGUGGAGCGGGUUCAGGGAGGCGGCGGCGGGGGAGAGCGGCCUGGAGCUCAGCCUCGGCCUCCCCGCCUACUUCACCAAGCCGGCAGCACCACCUGCAGGUCUGGACGGGCAGGAGUCGAGCGGCGCCGGCGCCGGUGAUUUUGCUCGCCAUCCUGAUGGAGGAAGCAACGGCUCCAAGGCCAAGCCGGCAGCAGCAGCAGCUCCGGUCGUGGGGUGGCCGCCGGUGCGCUCGUUCCGGCGGAACCUGGCCGCCUCCAAGCCGUCGUCGUCCAAGGAGGACGGCAGGGCAAGCAAAGACAAGGGCGCCGACGAGCCUGCGGGCCGGAAGGGCCUGUUCGUGAAGGUCAACAUGGACGGCGUCCCCAUCGGGCGGAAGGUGGAGCUCAAGGAGGACGGCAGCUACGCUGACCUCUCCGCCACCGUCGACAAGCUCUUCCGCAGCCUCCUCGCCGCUCAAAGGGACGCCGCCGCUGCCCCCGACGCGAUCGCCGGCGGCGAGUACACGCUGGUGUACGAGGACGACGAGGGCGACAGGAUGCUGGUCGGGGACGUCCCAUGGCAGAUGUUCAUCGUCACAGCGAAGAGGCUGCGAGGGCUGAAGAGCUCCGACCUGCCAGCCUCGUCGCUGACGGCGGCCGGGAGCAGGAAGAGGCCGGCGGCCGCGGCUAUAAUUAGAGCCGUGUCUGUGACGAGGGUUAAUCCUGUUUUGCUACUACGUACGUACGCACGUAUGAGGAUGAAAUCACGGCUAUAA